UACGUAGGGAGCAAGCGUUGUCCGGAUUUAUUGGGCGUAAAGAGCUCGUAGGCGGCUUACCAAGUCGGGUGUGAAACCUCCAGGCUCAACCUGGAGACGCCACUCGAUACUGGUAUGGCUUGAGUUCGGUAGGGGUAAGCGGAAUUCCUGGUGUAGCGGUGAAAUGCGCAGAUAUCAGGAGGAACACCGACGGCGAAGGCAGCUUACUGGGCCGAUACUGACGCUGAGGAGCGAAAGCGUGGGGAGCGAACAGG
rnacentral:rRNA from 1 species